GAGGGAGGGGUGCUGACGGUCAGAGGAGAUGGACCAGAGAGCAUUGACCGGUACUGGACAAUUGAAAGGGAUUCAACGAUAAAGGACUGGUUGGAGCCCAGAGAGACUGAGUUUGGCUUAAAGGACAACUGUGAGCUGGACUAAUUUUAGUCCUGAUGAUUCUGCCAUGAGAUGGAGAAGGCAACCUCCAACCGAGAGGAUGGAGGCUAAGGAAAGCUCUGGUUCUGGACAACGUUUAUGGGGGCGUGGAAGACCAACUGCACGACAUCAUGCCACACUGGUUGGGUCCCUACCAUGUACAUCUCAUCUGCUGUCCAGGUAGCUGAGAGAGGAACCUGGGGACAACGACACACGCUACAGGAGGGCUUCUGUGUUUAAAGAUUAGGCACAGUGAAUUGAAGUCACUGAGGGAAAAGUGAGCUUUCUGGUACUGGUGACCAUCACUUCUGACCCGGCCUGAAGCUAUAGAGCCCUUAGAUAAAACUGGUCAUCUUGGCAUUCACAAAGGAGAACACACAGAUUCUCCUGACCUGUCUGAUAAAGCAGCUUGAGUGGAGACAUCUAGAGCUGUGUCAUGGAGCUAUGAAGGACAACACCUUGGAAUAUACAUCUGACUUUUACAUUCUGUUACACUGGCCUGCCAAGAAAUGGUUCAUAACUGACUGUCUGACGUUUGGAGGAGCAGAACAUUUGUAAUGACUUUGGAAGUACAUCUAAUUGGAACCAUGAGAGGACUUUUCAGUGAAUUGAGUAAUUGGCAUGAGAAGACUUUGUACCAGUGACAAAUUGAAGGAUGUAUUCAGUGAUAGGUGUUUACACACCCACGUGUCGAUGAUACAUAUUCUAUACUGUCAAUAUAUGUGUCACC
ensembl:lncRNA